GCUUCAUGCUCAGUGAGAUUCAACCGUCUUCCAUCCUCACCGUUCUCUGCAUCAAACCUCCCAAUAUCCAAGCAAGUUGGUGAACCAGUGAUGCAGAACACAAGCUUGUACCCAAACUGGUAUUUCUCAAUAUGAAAUUUCCCACCAAAAGUUUGUUGCCCUGGAUGCCCUUCGGCCCCACCAACUCCCACACAUGCCUUCUGGAUUGUUUCGUCCACAAACACCAACCACUUGGAGGAUUCUGAACACUCUGGCUUCUCCACGAACUCGAUUUCCAGUUUGGUACCUACAGUUAUGUUUCCAAAAAUUCAAAUCAGUAAGUAAAAAAAAACAUUAUUACGACUUUAAUCCUAACGUUAGGAUGUGCUUUAAAUGGCUCUGAUACCAUAUUAAGAAGUGGACUUUAAGUCUCACUCAACCCCAUAAAACCUGCUCAUAGAAUUGAGGUUUGCAUCCAUUUAUAUAGAAUGAAAUGUCAAUCUCUAGUCGAUGUGGAAUCUCCAAGCGAUACCAUAUUACGAAUAUAUUACAAAGUAGACUUUAAACCUAACUAAAGUCAUUGAAAGUUUAAACCCACGAAUUCUCUUCAUUUAGAGUGGAUAUAAGAUCUCUGAAAUAGUUGUCAACAAAAAAUUCUUCCUACAACAACUUAGUGACUCAUAAUAGUGAGAGAAAAGUAAACUUUUAAGACAGUUUGAUAACUAAUUUCACUGUUCAUUAAUAAGUAAAUGAUAUAAAAGAUUUGAGGGGACUCGUGGUCUUGUUGCAUAUAAAUGCUGAAGUUCCCAUUUUUAUUUACUUUGAAGUCUGAAAUAAUUAAAUUGAUAAGGUAUUGAUGAGUACCAGUGAAGAUGAUUCCGGGGCUGACUCCAGGUAUGGUGAACUUCACGGGAAUGCCACGGAAGACUUCUAUGUAAUCUUGCAAGACAGUUAGAGCGCACUGUGAGUUCCCAGUUUGGCCAAGUUUCAGUCCACCACCAGGUGGGCCACGGAUUGCUGGUAAGAUGUAGUAUGUGAGACCUGGGAAAAUGGGGUUCCCAUUUACGUCCACAACUUGCUCAACAUCUGAGAAAGCUAAGGGAAGGUUGGUGAGGAAAGCAAGGAGAGGGAGGAGGAAGGAGAGGGCAAGAACUGCUGUGGCUUUCAUGGUUGAUUCAGAGGAAGAUGGUGCUGUUGCAGAUGUUCUGCUUCUGUUGUGGUGGACUGGUUUUGGUUCUUUAUAUAGAAACAGAGCACCACGUGCUUGUUCUUAAAAGAAGAUGACAGAGAAUUUUGAUGACAGAGAAAACAAAAACAAAAAAGAAAAAGUAAAAGAAAAAGAAAAUCUGAGAAUUGAAACAUGUUUCAGCAACAAUGUAAAACGAUGUUAAGAAUGGACAUAACAUCAAAGAUGUAUAGGAAGAUAAGAAAAACAUAGUAGUGAAACAGACUUACAUGACAUUUGUAACAUGUGACUAAAUUGUUUUAAUAUUUUCAAGAAAUUUUUUCUGGGAGGUAGUUUUUUCCCCUUAAUUUAGCAACUGAAUAUUAGUCUUUUAUUAAAAUAAUUAGAUUAAAAUUAAUAAAUUCUAGUGAUAAAAAUAUAUUUUUAAGAUAACUUGAUUUUUAAUGAGGAAAUAAUAAAUGAGUAAGCAUUUAUAGGUAGAGAAAUGUAAAGAAUUUGUAGCUCAGAUGGGUGCAUACAGUAUCAAUAAUGAUAAUAUACUUGUUAGAAAAAUAAUUGUGAAGCAAUCAUUGGUAGUUUCAUCUAUAAUCUCAAAUUUUGAAACAAGUUUUUUUUAUCAGAAAACCAAAUCUUUACUCACAAAAGCAAUACUUUUUGAAAAUCACUAUUUUCAAUAUUGGUUUUAACAGAAAAAAGAAAAAAAAAUAGAAUAAUCAAUUUUACUUAUUUAUAUGAUAUGAUGAUUUAAAUAUUUGUAAACUUCAUGGCAGAAUUAGAAUUGGAUAAGUUUACUUAUCAUCUCUAAUUAUACAUAUUAUCUCUUGAAGAUAAUUAUGAUCAAUUUUUUUAUACUUUUUAUUCUUUAAUGUUAUUCAAACCAAAUUAAUUUAAAUUCAUUUAUUAUAUAAAAAUAAAAAAUAAAAAAUCAAAGAGAAUAUAUAAAAUGUCUUAAGCCACGUGCUUAGUAGGUGAGAGAUUAUUUGAUCACGUGCAAGUACAGUAAUCGGAUAAGGAUGAAGUUGGAAUGAGUUAUUUUGGAAGUUUUUUUUUUUAAAAAUCGCAUUAUUAAAAGAAAAUUACCCAAAUAAUAUAUUACUCAUCAUAUUUAUCUAAAUAAUAAUAUGAUUUACGAUUGAUGUCAGGUUUCUCAAAAACCGAAGUCUAACUUAAUUUUUCAAUUUUUUUUAAAAUUAUGAAAAAAAUACAUAAUGAUAGUGUAAACUUUAUGACAUUAUCAUAUUUAAAAUUUAUUUUUUAAUAAUUUAAAUAAAUUAUUAAAUAUAAUUAAUAUUGAUAUCUUAUCACACAUGCAAUGCAAAGCAAGUAUAAUAGUUGGAUAAAAACAAACUUGCACCGAGUUAUUUUACUAAGCCAAUAAGGUAUGCAAAAUUGAAAUAUUUAUAUUGAGGUAUUUUUAUAACUUUAUUUAUAUUAAAUUAAGGACUCAUGUUUUAACUUGAUUGUUUAUAUUAAAAUAGAAAUAAAAAUGGAUUUAUUUGGUAAUUUUAAAUUAUAGAAACAUAUUCCAUAGAUAUUUGGUAGAAAGAACAAGAAAUUGACUUUGAAUUUUUAUUUUACAUCUUACACUCUUAGCAAUUCAAUGAAAUGCGUGUCACAAAAGAGAGCACACCCUUUUUUUAACAAUUAUAAAAGUUAUAAAAUAAUAAUAAUAGAGACAUUAGUGAUAAAUAAUUAAUGAGCUUUUGAUAAACACUUUUAUUUAUUUGUAGAUUAAAGUUCUCGAUCUUCACGAGGCACACAAUAUUAAAUUAUAAUAUUAAAGCACGUGCCGAGGAAUAUUUUAUGCUUCCCGUGGAACACGCACGACCUUCCUUCUAUAUUUUUAAAAGAGGGUUAAGAUAUUGUUUCUCUCUAAUAAAAUAUAUGUUAAACUAUAAUAUUAAAAUCCGGUAUUGAAAUGAUAAAUAUUUGAAAAUUAAAAAACCAGAAAAUCAUAAAUUAUUUAUCUGAAAUUUAAAAAGAUAAAUUAAUUAAAAUAUAAGUCUAAGAAUCCACCCCAAAAGAAACAAUAUGACCUCUCACCUUUCUGUUCACUACUUUGUCUUCUUUUUCACAAAUUUGGCAACCGCACCUUAUGCAAUUUGCAAUACCACCACUACAAAUUUCUUCUUUUCGUUAUUUUUCACUUGGCGCGUAUUUUGAAUUUUAAAAUGUCAAUCGCGAUGAGUUUCUAAGAAUAUAUAGGUUAUGAGAAAUAGAGACCCAUUCAUUUCUCAUUUUUUCUUUUCAUUUACUGAAGAAUAAGUGAUUCUUUUAUCAUUUUUUUUUUAUCCAUAUCAUACCUGUUCAGACGUGAUGCAGUUUAUAAGGUUUUUUUUUUAUUAUCAAAGUUGUUUGCUUUUAUCAUAUUUUUGGUGUCCCAAUAAUGCUUUUAAGAAAUAUUGAUCAAGCUAAUGGACUAUGUAAUGGUACAAGAUUUCAAGUUAAUGAGUUGGGGAAGAAUUUUAUCGAUUGUACAGUGAUUACAGGCAAAAACAUUGAUCAUAAAAUAUUCAUUCUUAGAACGAACUUGAUUCCUUCAGAUUUAGGACUGUCUUUCAAGUUUCAAAAAAGACAAUUAUCGAUAUCUUGUGCUUUGCAAUGACUAUAAAUAAAAACUAAGGUCAAACACUUUCCGAAGGUCUACUUUUUUUUCUUGGCCAAUGUUAUAAGCCAACAAUCUACAAAUAAUUUGUUUUUUAAUAAUUGUUUCUUAUUUGAAUUUGCAGGGUAAUAUAAUUGUUCUGAUCAUAUUUUUGCUUCUACUGCAAAAUUGUAAUAAAUAUAAUAUCUUAUCAAAAUCUUCUAUUCCUAUCUUUGCAUUUGGACAAAAUAAUACUUCUACUUUCUGUUUUUUUUUUCUCUAAGAUUUAAAACAUAUCUUUUAUAUAUUCCUCCUAUCAAAUUUACAUUUAAGUUAUGUGUAGCGGUGAUUGAAAUAUAUUGACAUUAUAACCCAAUAUUAUUCAACAACAAUUAGAGGUUAGUAUCAAAUAUUCAACAUCACUAUACCAUUUCUUACAUAUAGUAACAUAUUAUUUUCUCACAACACUCGUGCAUUAUUUUGUUUCUAUAUUUUGCUUUGUUUUCUUUUCUUCUGUUUUCACUUUCUCAUGUUUCAUAUACUGUGCAAUGCCACCAAGUGUUUGAUAAAUGCUUGAAUGAUGGUGACUGGUUCUUUCUCUAUUUGUUUAGGUUAUAUAUGGUUUUAUGAAUUGAUUACUAGACACUCAUUUAUUAAUUAAUAUAUGCGUAGCAUGCUUGUUGGUUGGGGUGUGACUGUGAGAGGGAAGGUGAGUGUGGGUUAUGACUUACCUUUCCGUUUCCUUGACAUAAUUGGGAGGUUACUUGCCACAAUUAAUUGUCAUCAAAUGGAAGUUUCUUACUACAACUAAUUGUCACCAAAGGGAGGUUAAUUACCAUUAAUUGUAUUUAUUAUUGUUGUCUCCUAGAACCACUAUAUAUAGUGGUUUCCUUCCAGCAAUAUAACAAACAACAACACAUACUUGCUUCCUCUUUAUUUUCCUAUACUCUCUAUUUCUGCUCUUGGGUGUAAGUGUUUAACCCAUAUAGAGAGAAUUUGUUUUGGGGCUAUUUAUCUAUUAGCCUGAGAGGGAUUCAUGGUACUCCCAGUACCAUUAUAGUGGAAGUUUUGGCUCUUUCGCCGAUGGUUUUUUAUCUUUAUUUAAAGGGGUUUUCCACCUAAAAAAUUUUGGUAUCAUUCUCAUUUUCUUUGUUACUCUAAUUUCUCAUAAUUUGGUUGAAAUUAUUACGCUUCUGCACAUGAUAUCCCUACAGUGAGAGAGAAUGCAGAAGGAUGGAAUAGUGUUGCGACGCUUUUGAAUAUCUUGAAGCUUUUUUAAUGGUUAAAGGUUUUAUUAACAUGAUUUUCUACUAAGAUUUACUAUUUUGGUUAAAUGUUUUAUUCAUUUUUUAAUGACAAUUUCAAUUUCAAUAAAAGCAUAGAUUGGAAAAACAACUCAUCAGGACUAUAAGGUACUGCCUCAAGCAGAGGAUUCCAGUGUGAAAUCGACUUGUAAUGGUGAAGAGGUAAAUCUUCAAGAGACUUUUGAAAAAUCUCAGCAAAUUACAAGUUAACGUAAUCAUAUAUUGCUUGGUAUCACGAUGCAACUUUAUGUAACUUUUUCUGUCCAAUCAAUUAUUAAGAUGGAAGAAGAUGAAGAUGUAGAGGUUAAACAAAAGGAAUGUGAUGAUGCAAAGUACAAUGUCGAUGAAGAACCAAUCAACCAACAUUUUAAGCAGCUAGAGUUAUUUCAGCUGCAAAACGAGAACGUCCAAGUAACUUGUGUCAGAAUAAUAUUAAAUAAUCAUACUUACAACAUGUAUAAUUCUAAUACAGUACCAUAUAAACAUGCAAUUAGAGCUAGAUUGAAUGGUUUGACACAAGAGUUUUCCUAGGAUUGCUUUCGUAAUGCACUAUGCAUAAGAUAAAGUAACCAAUUUGAUGUUGACAAUCCUUAGGAAUUGAAAAUGAUGGUUCAUCAAACAAAAAUAGGAAUGCAGGUUCUGCAACAUAAUUCACCUACGCAUUUUACCUAUGACCAAUCACUGACCAAUUAAAAGGUUGUCUCCAUUUUAAAAUUACUAUGUAAAAGCCUAAGGGGGCUCAAUGAUUCAUUCCCACAAGUAUGAACAUUUCAAUUCUGUUUUUUAUUUUACCUAAUCUCAAUUUUGUGCACAAUAUCUUGUAGUUUCUUGAUUCUUUCUUUCUGAAGGAUAUUUUUAUCCAUUAUUAAAAACCAAUUUCUUUUGAGACCUUUAUAUUAUUAUAAGAAAAUUUGGUCUCAUAUAAAAAAUUGUGUUUAGAUAAAUCUAAAAUCAAACUCUAGUUUUUAUUUUUCAAGAGUAUUUAUUUGAUCUUUAGUCUGGAACCAAAUUUUUUUCACAUGCAACUAGGUGGGGUAGGUACUUAAUUGAAGGACAAUAAUGUUAAUUAAACCAUGGCCUUAACAUGGAAUGUGAAAGAAGGUCCAAGACGACUCAAAUGUUCACUCACCUUCAAACCUCGGUCCUUGGUCUCUUACCUCAGGUUCAUCAAUCAUCAUCCAACAUUUCAUGUUUUCUCAAUAAUUAAUGCUACACAUUAUUUUCAUGGUUUUUUUUAGAGUUUUGGUUACAUGAGUUUUAUGCAUUAUGUCCACAUUGUGUUGAAGAUGAAGAUGAAAGCUUUCAUGUAUCAAAUUCACAUGAAGCCGGAAGCUGUGUGCUUUCUGGGUUCUGGGUUUGGGUUUAGAUUAAGUUGUUUAGAAUCUUUGUUAAGAUUAGUCCUUGAAGCCUACACAAAGCUUGAUUAAAUCUAUUUUAAGAAACUAAGUGUUGUUCCAAGUAAAGGGAAAACAACCGAUUGAUUUGUCGAAAUAAUCGGUUGUUUGUCAAUUAGCUCACUGGAAGUUUUGAAACUGCUUGACUCAUUCAACCGGUUAAAUCGUGGUCUCACCCGGUUAAAUAUGUGUUUUCAUAACAGUUUUUUGAAAACUUGUUUUAACUGAUUCAGUUGUUCAAAUCUGCCUUAAGCAAUUGCUUUUCAAAGGCUAUAAAUAAAGGCUUUCAUUAAAAUCAAAAGAUACAACAAAUACAACAAGUAUUGAUUCAGAUUUUAGAAAGAGAUUUGGUGUUUGAAAGUGCUUACAAAAAGUGCAAGAGUGCUUUCAAGCUUUGAUGUGGUGACAAGUGUUGAUCAUAGGAUCUCUGGUUCUGUAAUUCCAGGUGUUUUCUAUCCUUGCUUAGUGUAUUGUAAUUGUACUUCUUUUACAUACUUUUGUGUUUGAAAUUCUAUAAAGACAAAGGUUGUUCUGUCUUGAGGUGUGAAGUUUUGCAAAGAGGGUGAGUAGGCUUUGUGGGAUUCAAAGUCACCUCUUUGUGGUGUGUGAUUGUAAUCUGUGUUGAUUACUAGUGGAAACUUAGAGGUUUGUCUGAGAACUGGAUGUAGCUCAGGGAUUGAGUGAACCAGUAGAAACCUUGUGUGUAAAUCUCUCUUUCUCUCAAACUGUUUGAUAUUUUGCUGCUAUAAACAACCGAUUAAAACACAAUUUUAACCGGUUAAAAUUCUGAUAUCUAUUUCUUUUGGAUUGUUUGGUUGCCUUCCUUAAGUGCUUAUCUGAGUUGUUUGUUAAAUAUUCAUUCUAGACCAAGUAUUUGCGAAAAUCUUUGAUAAACAAUUCACCCCUCCUCUUGUUUAAGCCAUCAAUUCUUACACAUUGGAGGAGUUGAAGAAGACUAUGAAAGGAGUAGAAGGGUCCAUGAUUGAAUGUGGUAACAACAAUAGAAAUUGUUCAAUCAUGGUUACUAUUUCUGCUAAUGUUGCAUUCUUUGGUAUUCAAUGGGUGCCUCAACCAGGUUUGGUGACGCAAAUUUUAAAGGUGUUUUGCAAUCACAAAGCAUAGAUUUUGGCUACAAAUGUAGAAAUUGAUAUUGGCAAUCACAGUUUUGGUGCAAAAUAAUGGAAAGUGUGUGGUUGAAAAUAUUAAAAGAGAAAUUAUGAGUUUGUAGGAUCAAAACUCUUGCGAUAGAUUAUAUGGUGUUUGAUUUUGGUACCAUGUCACAGAAGAAGCUAACUUGAUAUAGAUCAUGAUUAGACAUUAGAAACUAAACUCUAACCUGUAUCAAUUUCAAAAAACCUGCAUCUCACUUGUCACUUAUAUGGUUUAAUUAGAUCGUAUUCAUAUAAUUAUAAAAGAAUUUAGUAUGAGAUUUGGAUGAAGAGAAAGGAAGGAAGAAAGUAGAAACUAGAGCUGAAAACUUUUACUGAGAUACAAUAUGAAUAGGUUAGGCCAAUUGCAUAAUUGGUGUAUUAAUUGGUUUUAUUUGUCUUACGCUAAUCUUUUUUUCUUUUAUGUGAUGGGCAACGAAGAAUACUGAUGGAAGAGAGUCAUCUCGUGCAGAAAUGUGCAUCAUGAUAAGCCUAAGAGUGAAACAAAUUAUUGUAUGUAAUCUCUAUCUUUAUCUUCCUCACCCUCAAUAGUUAUUCCUCAAAUAUUAAAUUUUGAAUAUUUGGUGCUUAACUGCUAUAUUUAUAUAAUGUAAAUUAAUUUAAUAUUUAAUAACGUCUACUACUAAAACUUUAGACAAACUUCUGUAAAUGGUACAGAUUGAAGACAUGUAUGAAUACUUCUUAACAUUUGUGAACUGUAACAAAUGUAUAUAUUUUUGGUGGAACUGAAGAUUAUAAUUAUAUCAUUAUGGAGUGUUGGUUGUUUGAUGCUGCAAAAUCUGUAUUAAAUUUGAUGUGGUAGAAAUAAUGUAGAAUGACUUGUUUGACAUAAAUAACAGUUGGGGCCAUCAAAGCCUCUUCAAUUGUAAUAUUGCUACUAGGAAGUUGAUCUUUCAAUGAAAGACCAUUCUUUUUUUGUGUGUGGAAAAUUGGGAGUAUGUGUUGGCCUUCUAUCUUUGUAAAUGUGCUCUUCACUGUUGUGAGGUUUUUACAACACACCCUUAAUGGAACAAAAAAUCCAUCUAUAAGUAACACAUUAAUGUCUCAUGCAUGAAUUAUUAUGUCCUUCAGAUACAAAUUUAUAGGGGCUACAAUUAUCUCAUUGCUUUAACCACAAAAUUUUCAUUUCAUCCAUCAGAAUGCAAACCACACUUACCUUGGACAACUUCAUACCAUAGAGUUAGUCUGUAGAGAAAAAUGCUAAAGUCACUUAGCUGCUAAAACAAUAUUUUAAUCUAGCAAAUCUCCCAACUAACAAGGUGACCUCUACUUAAUCCAUUUGAAAACAAUAUAUCUUAAGUUUUUAUAGUAAACAAUUGGUGCACGUAUGAUAGAAUUUUAACUAUUGCAAUCAUUUUAAAAACCAUAUCUAUCAAUUUUUUUGAGAUUUUUUUCAAAUUAAACUCAAAUUUUAAAAGGCAUAUAUAUGAGUAUAUGGGUAAAUCAUAGUUAAUAUCUGUGGUUGAUGAAAUUUUAUAAAUAUUUUUUCUAUUCUUAUUUAUGGCUAUCAAAUAUUAGAGGUGACAAAGUGAGGCGGACUGUGCGAAUUGGCCUGUGGCCCCCUGAAAAAAAUGUGGGCGGGUUGCUUAUUUCAACUCGCUGACUCACUUAGGUCCGCCCUACAUAACUCGCAGUCCGCACGGGCCAAGUGGGAGCGGGUGCGGGUUGACCCGCAUAACUUUAAAAUGUAGAAUUUUUUUUCUGCAUCGCCAUAUUUUCUUCAUGUAGCCUCAUAUUUCACAUUCCAAAAUUUUUAAUAACAUCUUACUAUGCAUGUCUCGUGAAAAUAAUAUUAUUAGACCAUUUACCUAAUUCAUCUAAAUAAAUAAAAAAUUAUUUAAAAAAAUAUUUCUUAUGCGGACUAGCUCGUAGGCCAACCCUUAUACGAAACAAACUAGAAAUCUUUGAAUGCAUGUUUUCAUCUGCUGAGCUCAAUGAAUUUCAAGAAAUAUCUGAAAAAUAUUGGGUUGAAAAGAGAAGACUACUAUUUUUUAAAACAUGUUUGGAAGGGUUUGUUGUCUUGCCUUGCUUGGGGUUUUAUGGCUCUAUCCUGAGAAUUCAGCACUGAGCGGGGGAAACUGAAGUCAAGGCUGAAGGAGCAUGAAGAAGCAUUGAAGGAUUUCAUUGGUAAGGGAAGGAUGAGAAAGCUCAGAAGCUGUGGUUGAGGCUGAAGAAUGAGGUUGCAACUGAACUAAAGGAGAGACGUUUUGAUGUUGAAUAAGUGUAUGCUUUAUAGUGAAUGGUUGUCAAUGUCAUUUCCAUGAUACAUGAACAGAUUGUGAGACUCUAGAUGUAGUAGACACUAAAAAUCUUAUGUAUGCUAGAUGAUAAAUAAAAGUGACAAUUUAUUGACAAGACAUGUCUAAAUUCACUUUCAAACAUUGAAAAUCCAUAGUGUUGUGUUGAUAGAUUUUUAUUACUAGUUUGCUUAUAGAAUAAAAACAUCAAAACAUAAAUUAUUAAAUUCAUGUUACAAUCCAAACCUAAGUAAUCUAUAUAAUUUUGUAAUCAAACAAUUUACUAAAUUUUUUAGUAACAUUUUUAUAAUGUUACUUUUUUUUUAUUAAAAAAUAUUAGUAACAUUUUUUAAAUGUGACUUCUUAAAUUUAGAGUGUAGGGAUUAGUAACAUUUUUAUAAUGUUACUCUCUUUCCAAAAAAAUAUUACUAAAAAAAAUUAAUAACAUUUUUAAAAUGUUAUUUAUUUAUUAAAAAAAGUUACUAACCUUUUCAUAAUAUUAAUUUUUUUUAUUAAAAAGUAUUACUAAAAAGAUUGAAUAACAUUUUUAAAAUGACAUAUUUUAUUAAAAAAAUUACUAAAAAUAAUUAGUAACAUUUUUAUAAUGUCACUUUAAUAUUAAAAAAAGUUAAUAAAGAUUUAUAGUAACAUUUUUAUAAUAUUUUUUUUUUUAAAAUUACUCAAACAAUUUAGUAACAUUUUAAAAAUGUUAUUUUUUUAUUAAAUAAAUAUUACUAAAAAUAUUUAAUGACAUUUUUAUAAAUGUAUUUAUUCAAAUAUAAAAGUAUUACUAAAAGUAUUUAGUUAUAUAAAAUAUUUGUUACAUUGAAUAAAAUUACUAAAUCAUAUUAGUAAUUUUUUUAUAUUUAAUAACAUUUUCUUUAUUUAAUAACAUUUUUUUAAUGUUACUAAUUAUCAUAUCUAGUAUUACCAUAACUUUACAAAAAGAAAUCAAUUUAAUCCUUUAUCAUAUUAAAUAGAUUCUCUACCAAAAAUGUUUUCCUGCCGAUUUAUAAUUAAUUUUGUUAAUAAUAUAAAAUAGUAAUAGUUAAAAACGGAUAGAAAAAAAGUUCUUAUAUUUUUCUCUAGACAUAAUUACAUUUUUAAUCAUCAUUAUAAUUAGAAAGAUAAGAAAAACCUCCUCUAUUCAAACAACCUUUUCUUUUUUUUUCUUAACCUCCAAAAUCUAUAUAUAUAUAUAUAUAUAUAUAUAUAUAUACACACUCAUUUUUAACAUUUUUUUUAAAUCGUUUGGUCAUAUUGUGUUUAUAAAAUCAAUCUUGAAAGGUUUAUAAAGUUAAAAAUGUGUAAUUAAGUUUUGAGUUCCAUUUAAAUUCAAGAACUACCAAAAAGAAAUCCAGGUAUUAUUAAUUUAAAUUUAAAGAUGUCAUAUUAAGGAAACUUCAUAGUCUUUGUUUACUUCGACUAUUUCAACUCCAAGAAAUUGGAUAUUUCAAAAUUCUCUAGAUUCAAACUACGGACUUAAUAACCUUAUCAGCUUCAAAAACCUUUACGAACACUAAAUCGAAGGCUUCAUGCUCAGUGAGAUUCAACCGUCUUCCAUCCUCACCGUUCUCUGCAUCAAACCUCCCAAUAUCCAAACAAGUUGGUGAACCAGUGAUGCAGAACACAAGCUUGUACCCAAAAUGGUAGUUCUCAAUAUGAAAUCUAGUCGAUAUGGGAUCUCCAACCCACCCCGCGUGCAAGGGACAACAUGUUAUGGGUGGGGUUUUUUCUUCCUGCACCCCCACGUUUUUCUUUCUGCACCCCACAAUUCUAAAUAUUCCUAAAGUACCCUUGAUCUAUAAUUUGAAAAGGGCACUCUCCUGGACUUGCAUUGUAGCAGUUCAUCUUCAUCACUGAAAUAUCAACUCCUGGACCUAUACUGGGAUUUUACCACACCGCAGGUUUAGCAUUCAGUUCUUAUAGAUAAAACAUUGCAGUUAUACAUCUUUCCCAUUUUACUUAUGAUGUAUUUCUUAUUCAUCUAUGUAAUUUAACUAUUUUUCAAAUGCAGAUUCUGACAAUGGAGUAUGUUCCGGGGAUUAAAAUAAAUAAAACACAAGCUUUAAAUGAACUUGGUAUUGAUCGCAAAAGGUUAAUCUCAUAUGAAUUUCUUCAAGCCAAGUUACUAUUGACAUUUUCCCUUCUACUUCUGUGAAUUUUAGGAAUUGAUGAUGGCUUUUGAAAUUCAAAAAUAACAUAAUGUAUACUUUAUCUUCUACAGGUUAGGGCGAUAUGCAGGGGAUUCUUAUUUGGAGCAGAUUUUUAUCACAUGGUUUCUUCCAUGCUGACUCUUCUUGUUCUUAGAAUUGUUGAGUUGUCUCAUGACUUAUCUUGUUUGAAUAAGGGAGAAGAGAUUGGCUGGAAAUACUUAUCUCCCAUGUUGGAUUCCAAGUACACACUUUGCAUGCUAUAUACUUAACUUUUGAUUUAAUCAUAUCAUAUUGCAUAAAAUAAGAGAACAAGUAAGAACUUGCACAAUAGAAGGGUGGCAAAGAAGCUUUGCAUAAAAUAUUGUUACAUUCCCUUUUCAGCUCAAAUAGAAACUGAUUUGAUCUUUGGCUGUUUUUUGUACUGCACUUAGCAUUGGAAAACAUUAUGAUAAUUGUGAAGUUUGAAAAAGAUUUAUAAACAGGGAGUUCUAAUAAUUUGUUUUGCCAGUUAACAUCAAAUGUUCAUAUUAUUUCAACUAAUUUAUAUGGAUUUGACGAGUAGGGGAUUCAAAAAUUUAGAACUUUCCCAGAUCCAAAAAUUUGGAACUUUCCCAGAUUCAAAAAUUCGGAACCUUCCCAGAACUAUAAAUCCAGGAUUUUACCGCAAGCAUAAACUCGAGAUUCUACCGGAUUCUAUGAUCUAGAAUGCAAGAAAACACUUACAGAAACAAAAAUCCAUAAAAAAAUCGGAUGUGCAGAUCCGAAAGCAAAGAAAUUAACUUAUCUUGAUUAAAAACACUCUAUAUCAGCAACAAAAAAUUCUGAGAUUGUAAGGAUAGCGAUUUGUAGGUGCGACUGCUGCUAGAAAAUGAAACCCACGGCUGUGCACUGAGAGAAUCAUUGCCUGUGCCUCUUUAGGGUUUUUUUAGGUGAAGGGUAUUUUUAGAAUUUUAAAAACUAUUAAGGACGAUUUAGUCUUUGCAUAAGAGUGUGGGGGUGCAGGAAGCAAUUGUCUAUGGGUGGUCCAAUAACGGCCCGAUAGCGGGUGGCAUGAUAGGUCCAACAAACGUUUGUUAUGAUAGACUUUAAAUGACUCUGAUAUCAUAUUACGAAGUGAACUUUAAACCUAACUCAACCCCAUAAAACCGGCUCAUGAAGUGGAAUUUGCACCCACUUAUAUAAAAUGAAAUGAUAUAAUAUCUAGUUGAUGUAGGAUCUUUAACAUACUCCCACACGCAUUUGUUCUGGAUUUCUUCGUCCUCACUCAUGUUUCAGACAUACAUAAGACACUGACAAUAAGACACUGACACUAAAACACCUAUAAUUUUUAAAAUUUAAACAUAAAAUAUAAAUUUAUAUAUUAUAUUAUUAUGAAUUAUAUAAAUUUCCUAGUACAAAAUUUAUAUCAACAAGUAUACGCUAAGAUUUUUUUUUAUGAUUGAUUAAAAGAAAUUUUUUUCUGACACAGACUGCAUGAAAAGAAAAACGUAUCCGAGCUUCGUAUUAGUAAUAGAACAACAUAGUUUUGAAGAAAAUUUCUGACUACAAUUUAGAGACUCCGAAAUAGUGAGAGAAAAGUAAACUUUUAAGACAGUUUGAUAACUAAUUUCACUGUUGAUUAACUAAACAAUAUAAAAGAUUUGAUUGAACCCAAAAAUGGACUCGUAGUUUUGUUGCAUGUAUAAGCUUAAGUUUCCAUUUUUAUAUACUUUGAAGUCUGAAAUAAUUAAGUUGAUAAAGUAAUGAUGAGUACCAGUGAAGAUGAUUCCAGGGCUGACUCCAGGUAUGGUGAAUGCCACGGAAGAGAUUUGAGUAAUCUUGCAACACAGUUAGAGCACACUUUGAGUUCCCAGUUUGGGCAAGUUUCAAUCCACCACCACUUGGGCCAAAGAUUGCUGGAAAGAUGUAGUAUGUGAAACCUCUGAAAAUGGGGUUCCCAUUUGUGUCCACAAUUGGCUGAACAUUUGAGAAAGCUAAGGGAAGGUUGGUGAGGAAAGCGAGGAGAAGGAGGAGGAAGAAGAGGGCAAGAACUGCUGUGGGUUUCAUGGUUGAUUUAGUGGAUGAUGGUGCUGUUGCAGAUGUUCUGCUUCUGUUUUGGUUUUGGUUCUUUAUAUAGAUACAAAGAUGCUGCUAUAGCACCAAGUGUUUGUGUUGGAAUGAGUUAUUUUGAUAGUUUUUUCUUAAAUAGCAUUAUUAAAAGAAAAUUAUCUAAAUAGUAUAUUACUCAUCAUAUUUAUCUAAAUAAUAAUAUGAUUUACUAUUGAUGUCAGGUUUCUCAAAAAAAUUGAAGUCUAACUUAAUUUUUUCAAUUUUUAAAAAAAAAAUUAUGAAAACAUUAAAAUUGUAAUGAUAAUAUAAUUAAAUUUUAUGACAUUAUUAUAUUUAAAAUUUAUUUUUUAAUAAUUUAAAUAAUUUAUUAAAUAUAAUUAAUAUUGAUCUCUUGUUUAAAAAUAUGAUUUUUUAUCAGUAAGAAAUAAUAAAUAAAUAUGGAUCACUUCAGAAGUGAUCCAACCCUUAUACAAAAAUAAAAAGAAAAAUAAGAUAAACCCUUAUGUCCUAACCUAAACCAAUUUUUCAACAAAAGCUAUCGACUAAUUCAAAACUCAAGUAUAUCACUUACACAGGAACCCAUCCUUGACAAUCGUUAGAGUAUACCAACACAUCAAAAUUUAAAAAAAAAAACAUAAAACAAAAACAAACUGUGAAACAUAAAUUUCCAAUAAUUAGAGGAACUUAAAAGACCUCUCUUUACAACUAACACAACAAUGGUGUACCCCCACUACUUAAAAAAAACAAAGAUAAUCCUUUUCACAUCACAAAAGCUCCUCCUUAUUGUCACUUAAUUCAAAGACCAAGACAGAACCUCUAAACGAAGUUUAAGACCAAUCUGCAAAGCACUCAACUUCCUUCUUCUUAAAAAGAAGUUAGAGAGAUAACGCAAGGAAAAAUAAACAAAUUUAAUUCACAGUUCUCAUACAUACCAAAUGUUCUAAACACCAAUCAAAAUAAGAGAAUUCUACCUUUUUCUUUACUGUUAACAAAGCCUGGUUUUUUCUUUGAGCCACAGUAAACACCUCUAUAUGGUCAACUCUCCCAUUAUUAAAAACACACCUAUUCUGAUGAUUCCAAAUUUCACCUAUAAUUUCAAUCCUCACCACUCUCCAAAUUAUGACAAUUUGGCCAUUAACAUUUAGAGGGCUGAACAAGAUGAAGUGUACCUUUGCAUCAUAGUGGUUUACCGAUAAACAACUCAAUCAAGACAAGCACAAACCCCAAAUUUUCUACCCAAUUUUACACUUAAAAAAAUAAAUGACAAAGAAUCUCCUCUUUCUCACCACACAACCCACACAAGCAACUUACCUUUGAGACUCCUUUUCUCAUAAGAUUAUCCUUUGUUGUUAUGCUAUUAUUCAACACCUUCCAAGCAGUGAUUUGUGCAGAGGGAAGAACUUUACCUUCCAGAACUUUUCAAAUUGAGCCCUAUCUUCACCUUCCACCACUACUGCAAGUAUACUAAUUAGAUAAAAACAAAGUUGACUGAGUUAUUUUGAUAUAAUAACUACACGAAGAGAGUAUACAAAAUUGAAAUUUUUAUAUUGAGGUAUUUUUAUGAUUUUAUUUAUUUUAAAGUUAAAUAUAUUUUUUAUGCAUAAUUAAUUUUUUACUUUUGUUCGAACUUUAGACCAUUCAGAUAUUUAUAGUAUGAAAAUAAUACGAAUAGGUUUUAUAUGUAAAAUAAUUGUUAUUUUUUUCAAAAAUAUUGUUAGUUUUUUUUCGAAAUUCGAUGUUGUUUUGAUUGAAGAUUAAUAUUUAAUAUAAUUAUUUUAAAUAAAUUGAUAAAGUAGAAAUUUAAAUUGAAUCAGUUUUAUAUAAAGAAAUUACGUAUUUCAAUCAGUUUUAUACUAUAAACAUAUUUGUAGUCUAAAGUUUAGACUAAAUAAAAAAUCAAUUUGGUAGGUACACAAUCUUAAAUUAUAAUAUUAAAGCUCGUGCCGAGGAAUAUUUUAUGUUUCCCGUGUAACAGGACCUUCUAUAUAUUUAAAAUAGGGUCAAGAUAUUGUUUCUCUCUAAUAAAAUAUUAUGUUAAACUGCAUAAUAAAAUCCCAUAUUAAAAUGAUAAAAAUAUUUGAAAAUUAAAAAACCAGAAAGUCAUAAAUUAUUUAUCUGAAAUUUAAAAAGACAAAUUAAUUAAAAUAUAACUCUAAUAUCUAAUAUUCAACAUUAUCGUAACUUCACAAAAAUAAAUCAAUUUAAUCCUUUAUCAUAUAAAUUAGAUUUUCUACCAAAAUGUUUUCCUACCGAUUUAUUAUUAAUUUUGUUAAUAAUUUCAAAUGUUAAUAAUUAAAAACAUAUAGAAAAAAAAUUCUGAAUAUUAUAACAUGAAAUCAUUCAUGUAGAGGGAGGCAUCUAUUUCGUUUGUUGGGCUUGGUCCCUUAUUUUUUUUCCUAGUUGGUUAGGUUAUUUGUUUUUGCACCUCGAAAUUUUCAUACGCACUCCUAAAAAAUUUUAUAUUCCAAAUUUACCCUUUUGGUAAUAUAUAUAUAUAUAUAUAUAUAUAUAUAUAUAUAUAUUAGUGGAGGGCAUUUUUUGUUUUGGUAUUUUCUUGUUAUGACUUCUUUGAUGUUUUCACAUACUUCAUGGUUGUGGUAUACUUGGUGGUGUUAUUGGGAAGUGUAGAGUGCAUUGAGUUACUAGGGAAGUGAAGAUAAUAUUGAGAGGGAAUGUAAGUUUCUCUUUUGUUUUGCUGAUUUUUUUUCUCUCUAGUUAAUGAUUUUGAAUUUAACUUCUCAAUCCGAAGAUUUCUUGAAUUACAUCUGGAGAAUAUAUUUAUAUAUAUAUAUAUAUAUAUUUAUUGUCCAAUUCGAAAGUGAAAAUAUUUUUUUGGAUUGUAUAAUUUAAGAGUCAAAUUUUGUUUAUGUAUUGCACAAUCUGAAUACUAUAUUGAAUUAUGGAUUGUGUAAUUUAUAAGUUAAAUUUGGCUUCACAAUUGCACAAUCCAGAAUAAAAAUUUAAUCUUUGAGUUAUACGUUUUGCAAUACAAUCUAGAAGAACAAAUAUAUUAUAGAUUUUAUAAUCUGAAAUAUAAAUUUUACUUUUUGAUUACACAAUAUAGAAGUCUCAGUUGUUCAAUUUCUUAAAGUUUUUGUAUGUCCAUACUUAUGUUGUGUAAUAUAAGCACAUUAUUACAUUGUUUUGUGAGUACUCUUACGAUUACUUUUAUGGUGAGUGUUAAAAUGUCAGAUAAAGUGGAUAAGUUGUUUCACAUGGAUAAGCUUGACAAUUUGUUGUAAUAGAAGAUGCAUUGGUUAGAGGAGAUUGCAUUCAACCUUUUACAAUAAAUGAGUAAGUAAAAUUUUAUAUCAUUUGUGUAAAUAUGAUACAUGACAUAUGCUUAUGUUGUAAUAUAUUUGGUAUGUGAAAUGACUUAUUUGAAUUGGUGUGUAAAGUACCAUUUCGACUUGGUUUUGUAAUUAUCAUUUUGCAGUAUGAAAUAUCAAAUGGAAAAUUAAGAAAAAAAAUACAUGUGUGUUGUUAGUGAAAGAGGUGGAAGUAUAGGAGAUACAAAAACAAUUUACUAGUCAUUGUACCUAGUAUAAGAAAAUAUGAUUGUUCUUUUAAAUUGCAAGGUAAACAAAUUUGCAAUGGAGGAGGGCAGGUUUUGAAGACAAUAUGUGGGAGUCAUAAUCAUGAAUUGGUUGAUUCAUGAACUGGUUGGUUUGUUCAAAUUCUUAUGUAUCGAGUUGACAUUUAAAUAUAAUAUUAUGUUCUUGAUUGGUAAUUGGUAUUGUCAUUUUAUUUGUAAUGCUAGUUUAUCAUGAUUUUGAUUCUUAAAUUUGACUGAAAAGUACCUCUAAGUUUCUGACCUAAAUGAUAAUACUUAACAUAUUUGAAUGCUAGAAAGAAAUUUAAAAUGUUAAUUGCUAUCAACAUCUAAUCGUAAGAAUAAGGAGUUUUUAUAAAUAGGCGAAUAAUCGAUAUUUAGGAGACUAUUUUAAUAAUUUUAUAUGCGAGAAAACGAUAUGAAUGAAUUUUAUAUGGACAUCAAUAUCAAUCAAAUGAUAGAAUAUUAUUAUGCUUUUCAAAAUACAAAAGAGUGAGAAGGAUGAACCCCAAUGCCAAUUUUCCCAAUUGAAUAAACAACUUUUUACUUUGCUUUAUUUACAAUUCUUGCAAUCAUACACAACAAACAUCCUACAAACUUUUACUUAUUGUUUUCUAUUUAGUGAAUCUUAUACUUGAUAAUUCAAGUGUUCCUUAUGUGUUCGAUAUCUGUCCUUAGGGACAAAUUAUUACUCCUAACACGAUACACUUGCCGUAAAAUAAUCAUCACACUUUAAAUUUUAGUUUGUAUUAAAGAUUGCAAGGGUUUGUCUCUAAAUAUGUUUUGAUGAACAUUGUUGAAGAGUUUGAUCAUGUUAGACGUGUUGGUAUUGAUAGUGAAUGUCAUUGAGAUGUACUCAUGGUUUACCUUAUGCAUACGAAUUAGUGAAAUAUGACAUCGGUAGCAUACUAUUGAAUAUAGUGCAUGUUAUGUGGAUCAGAUUUAACUUUUUUUAUAGGUCAUCAUGCGAUUCAUCGUCCAGGUUAUCUAAUCAGUAGAAAUUGGACAUUUUUUAUAAUUGUUUUAAGGAAGUUGAAAUUGCAGGUGAAGUGACAAUUAAAGCAUUCCCAAAUCCAUAAUUGCAUUCUGGAUUUCACAAUUGAGAUUGUAUUUAAAUUUUGACAAAUACAUUCCAAAUUAUACAAUCUAGAACAUAAUUUUAGAUCAAAAAAUGACUUUCAAACUGUACAAUCCAAAAUUUUGGAUUAUGCAAUUAAAAAAUUCUCAAAAGAGACAUUCUGGAAUGAAAUUAAAUAACAACACUGAAUUGUAGUUUUAAAGAACUAACCUGAUAACACUAGCGCAACAAUGGGUGGCCAAGGUAGUUAUUGACAAUGAAUUUGGAACACUACAAGCGAAGAAAGUAGACAUGACCAUGACACCAUUAGUCGUCUAUGAGGGGAGAAGAAGCAGAGAAGAAGAGAAAAAGAAAAGGUAAAAAUAUAUGUCAUUAAGGACAUUUUGGUCUUUUUAGCAUCUUAUCGGGGUGUACUUGAAAAUUAUAGGAAGGCAAAAGGUAAUGUGGCCUAUGGUUAGUCUUUUAUUUUAGGUAAUGGAUAAUGAAGUUUUUGUUUUGACUACUUUUUCAUGCACCUCCAUACCUUCUUGAGUCACCCCAUACCAAAUGUAAAAAUAUUUUUUUAUCCUUUUGUGCCACCCCCAUACAUAAUCUGGAAGAUGUUUUUGAAUCUGGAAGUUUUGUUUAGAUUUAUGAAAUUCAGAAGUUUUUUAUGGAUUUGAGAUAAUCUUAUGUAUUAUGUAAUCCGAAAGCUAAUCACACAUUUGAAAAAAUACUUCUGGAUUACACAAUCCAGAAGCUAAUCUCAAUCCAAAAAAGACUUUCAGAUUAUAUAAUCCAGAAGCUAAUCAAGCAUUUGAAAAAAAAGCUUUCAAAUUACAUAAUCUGGAAGCUAAUUACAAAAGAUUUUUGGAUUACAUAAUCUGAAAUAUUAAAGCAGGAUAUUUUUGAAAUACAAAAAAUAUAUGGGGUGACACAAGAAAGUAUGGAGGUGCACGAAAAAACAUUCUUUUCUUUUUGAACUUUCUUAAACUCCAGUCUUGGCCUUUCUUCUGGCUCUUCUUCUGAUCCUUUUGUUCUUGAGUUAAUUAUAUAAAAAAUGAAAAAAAAGCCCAGAUUCUCUUUCAGUCUUUCUUAAUCUUAAUCUAAUGAGUAUUAGAACAAAUUAUUGUUGAUCACCAUCAGAUGUACCAGAUUCUUAGAAAGUAAAAUAUAAGGUUAAUUAAAUAUCACAAAAAUGAUUUAAUAAGAUAGCUUUUACAUUUUAAAUAUAUAAUAUAAUUUAAUUAUAUCACUAGUUAAAAUGUGAUAUUUUCGAAAUAAAUAAUAUUUUGAUUAUUAUGCUUUUAAUAAUAAUAAAAAAAAGAGCUCAACGAUUCCUCCAUUUCUUUAAGCGUCUUCAGAGAAACUUAUAAAUAUAAUAAAUUUUCUUGAUGUUAAUAAAAUAAUUAUAAGAUUUUCUAUUUUUUCUUUCUUCAUUUCUAUAUUACAAUACAUUUGUAAACUAAUUAAAUAUCUGAUGAAAAGUAAAGGUACAAUUAAUAAAAGAAUAAUUAAUGUUGACCGUGAAAAAGAAACAAAGAGAAUAUAUAUGAGUAGGUGUAAAACAUUUUCUCUAUUAAAAGACCGAAGAAAUUAAUGUUUUUAUGCUUAUUUUUUUGUAUUAUACUAUAAAAAAUAAUCUAUGUCUUGUUAAAUUAAUGAAAUUACAUAAUUUUUACCAUGAAAAAUAAAAUUAUAAUUAAUGAAAACUAAUUAAUGUUAUCUUCUAAUUGAUGAAAGAGCAAUUAAUGUGGCCCUCCCAAGGGAUUAUCUUACCUGGCCAAGAAUUUGUGAAAAGUGAAGAAAGAACCUUUUUCCACUUUAACUUCAAAUAUUUUGAUCAAAAUAUUUUUUACAAUUUUCCAAAAUCUCUUUUCUGAAAUAUAUUUUUUAGAUUUUUUUUAAAUAUGUAUUUUUUAUUAUGGAAUUGCGUCAAUUGUUUUCGAAUGGGAUUGAGGCUGAGAACGAUUCAAGUUGCUCUUUUAUCUGUUCGGUUGGUUGGUCGAUCAAGUCUUUUCUCCUUCCUCUCAAAGCGAUCUUCUUAGUCUCCUCUUUUAACUCUACCUCUCUGUCUUCACAAGUCCAGACUCGGAUAGUACUUGCAAAAGGUACUCCGACGCUCAAGUUAGAAUUGAGUAUUCGACACUCGGUAUUCUGAGCACGGUAUAUGAUGUACCUGAUUCUUGGAUUUUGUGUCUAUUUAUAUGGUUAUUAUGAGCAUUUUCUCAUUAGAUCAGAUUAUAAAGUAAAAUCAUGUUUAAGGAUAUAUUACCUAAUAUUUAACUGUUGAUUAACCUCAUUAAUUAUGCUUAAAUGUGAUGAGGUCGACUUAUCGAGACAUAAUAUUCGUUGUAGUACCCUACCGUACAUCAAAAGAUAAAAUACAAUUAAAUCAUUGUGUGAUGAAUAUAUUUGUUUAUGAUACUAGACUCACAACCCCCGUUAGAAGGAUAUCUAGGCCAACUUGAUUAAAUGACUACAUUUGAAGAAUCUCUUUCUUUUGUCUUUUGUGGGAUUAGAUUCCUAGGAUUUUAUGUUAUGUCUUUUUCAGUUUUAUUAGGACAAAUGACUUUUUAAAGGUAUUAUAUGUCACACUAGACUAGGAGACAGAGUAUGUUAUUGGUUCUGUUACUUUUUAUCCUAAAAGUUGUUUUUUUUUUGUUUCUGUCAUAUCUCUUUCCCAAGCUCUUUAUUUCCUAGUUUUCUUUACGUUCUUCCUCAUCCCCGCUCCAUCACUGUAUCACACAAGGACUACAAUCUUAUUAAGGUGAAGGAUAUCGUGAGGGAAAUAGCUUUGAAACCGUUAGAUUGCUUCCAUUUUAAAUCAAUGGUGGAUAAAUUUCAGUUCUUUAUAUAUUUUUAUUUCCUUCUUCUUCUUCUUUUCCCAUGGGCAAGUUUGAAAGAAAUAUCUGACACAAGAAAGCAUAGUCAUUGUCUCUUAUUCAUAUUCAGUCUCUGGACAAGAUUCUCUCUUACACUUGAUUCAAGCUACGGACUUAAUAACCUUAUCAGCUUCAAAAAGCUCCAUGAACCUUAAAUCGAAGGCUUCAUGCUCAGUGAGACUCAACCGUUUUCCCUCCUCACCGUUGUGUGCAUAAAACCUCCCAAUAUCAAGACAAGUUGGUGUCCCAGUGAUGCAGAACACAAACUUGUACGCAAACGGAUGAUAUUUCUCAAUAUGAAAUUUGCCAGCAUAAGUUUGUUGCCCGGGAUGGCCUUCGGCACCACCAACUCCCACACAUGCCUUCUGGAUUGCUUCGUCCAUAAACACCAACCACUUGGAGGAUUCUGAACACUCUGGCUUCUCCACGAACUCGAUUUCCAGUUCGGUACCUACACUCAUGUUUCCAAAAAAUUAAAUCAGUAACCUAUGCAACACACUCACACUUAAACACGUGUAAUCUUAAAUUGAUAAGGUGUUGAUGAGUACCAGUGAAGAUGAUUCCAGAGCUGUCUCCAGGUAUGGUGAAUUUCACAGGAAUGCCGCGGAAGUUUGCAAAGGGAUGUUGCAAGACAGUUAGAGCGCAGGGUGAGUUCCCAGAUUGACCAAGUUUCAAUCCACCAGCACGAGGGCCACGGAUUGAUGGUAUGAUGUAGUAUGUGAGACCUGGGCUAAUGGGGUUCCCACUUAUGUCCACAACUUGCUCAACAUCUGAGAAAGCUAAGGGAAGGUUGGUGAGGAAAGCAAGGAGAGGGAGGAGGAAGGAGAGGGCAAGAACUGCGUUGGGUUUCAUGGUUGAUUUAGUGGAUGAUGGUGCUGUUGCAGAUGUUCUGCUUCCGUUGGGUUUCAUGGUUAUAUAGAAACAAAGAUGCUGCUAUUGCACCACGUGUUUGUUCUUAAGAAAAGAUAACGUUGUGCAUGGUUAGCUAUGUGGAAUUGAAUUUUGAUGACAGAUAAAAGAAAAAAUAACAAAAACGUUUUUUUCACAUCCUUUACCCACAUCUGAUGCUAUCAACGUGGCUGUUAGUCAUAUUAUUGGACUUCUUCUUUGGUCCUAUUUUUUCUUUGUGUAACGUUUUUUACUGGGUCUUAUUCUAUUAGUCCAUGCCUCUUUUAUAUUAUCUUUUCUUUGUAUCUUUUACACACAGAAACAAUAAUAUACAAUAUCAUAUUCUUUUUCUUGCUCUCUCUCCCCGUAUUCUUCACGUUUUGCUUUACGCUUUUCUUUUUCACCACUGUACACUUUCAUUCUCUUGGUGCCGUUGAAUUCUUCUUCAUCACAUUUCAGAAAUUAUAAUCGUAUUAUGGUAUCAGAGCUCUUCUUUUUGAAGAGCUCUGUUGUGCACUCUGAAAUUUCUUUCUCUUAAUUGUUUUCUUGUUUUCUUGUCCUAAUUUUCCUUUUUUUUGGUUUUCUCUUCAGGUAUGGCGGAAGGAGAUUCGACGCAACCGAGCCAAUUGGUGAAUAAUUUCCUUUAUCUACAUCCAAAUGAAAAUCCCGUUGCCCCCUUAGUUUCACCGGUGCUCGACUCUUCAAACUAUCAUUCUUGGAGUAGAUCAGUGGUGACGACGCUGAGUGCAAAGAACAAAGUGGAAUUCAUUCUUGGUUCACAUCCCUGCCCAGCCAAGAACGAUCCAACGUAUUCGGCUUGGCAAAGGUGUAACAACAUGGUUGUCUCUUGGUUAGUGCAUUCUGUCUCUACACCUAUUAGACAGAGUAUUAUAUGGAUGGAUAUGGCCAUUGAUGUCUGGACCGAUUUAAAAACUAGAUAUUCGCAGGGAGAUCUAUCUAGAAUUUCUGACUUGCAAUCUGAAGUAGUAUCUUUAAAUCAAGGAGAUUUGUCUGUUACAGAAUAUUUUACUAAACUUAGAAUCAUUUGGGAUGAGCUAGACAAUUUUAGACCCAAUCUUGUGUGUAUUUGUCAAACUAAAUGUACUUGUUAUGUUGCUUCGAUUAUUAGUCAAAGAAAAUGUGAGGAUCAAGUUAUGCAAUUCUUGCGUGGGUUAAAUGAACAAGUACCAUAACAUCAAGUCCCAUGUCCUUUUAAUGGAAUCCAUACCAUCUAUUCCCAAGAUUUUUUCUUUGGUGGCUCAGCAAGAACGUCAACUGGCUAACAACUUCUCUGUAACCAAUAUUAAUAGUGUUAGUUCCAGUCGUAAUAAUGCUCCUGGUGUUUGUGCUUUUUGUGGAAAAACUGGCCACACUGAGAAUGUGUGUUUCCGUAAAGUUGGUUUUCCUGGACAAGAUAAUAGGACUUAUAAAAAUAACAGAAAAAUGUGUACUCACUGUGGUAGAAAUGGUCAUGCGGUUGACGCUUGUUACAAAAAGCAUGGAUACCCUCCUGGGUACAAAUUCUACAAUGGUAAAACUGGUCAAAUUAAUACUAUUGUUACUACUGAUGAAGUUGUUUCUGAGCAUUCUCAAAAGAAACAGGAAAAUAGAGAUUUUCAUCUCACUGGACAACAAUAUCAAGUGUUGUCCGAACUGUUCAAGCAACAUUCCUGCAUCAAUCCAGCAAAUCCAACUCAUGUGAACCAGGUGGGAUCCUUCACUGCUGAUCUCACAAACAAAGCAACGGACCAAUCUCCCACGGGUAACAUUUAUGCUUCCAAUAGUAUAAAGAAAACUGGAAAUUACUGGAUUUUAGAUUUAGGGGCAACAGAUCAUGUUUGCACCUCUUUAUCUACUUUUAAUACAUAUAAAAGUAUAAAUCCUGUUCAAAUUAGUUUACCAAAUGGCCAAAAUAUUUUUGCUAAAAUUUCUGGUACGAUUGUUUUUAAUCUCAAAUUCUACCUUACUGAUGUCCUGUACAUUCCCCAAUUUGCUUUUAAUUUGAUUUCCACCUCUAAAUUGUGUUCUAAUCUCAACUGCAAUUUAAUUUUUUCAUCCAUAAACUGUGUGAUACAGGACACUCAAACCAAAGAGAGGAUUGGUUUAGUUGAUGCUAGAGCUGGAUUGUAUGUUUUUGAACAUUCUACUUUUAGAAAUAUUGUUGCACCUCAUAUUAUUCCUGCUUUACAUUGUACUGUUAAGGACAUACAUUUGUGGCAUCAUAGAAUGGGACAUGUUUCAAAUGAAAGAUUGAUGGUUUUGAGCACUAAAUACCCUUAUAUUUCUGAUAAGAAGCUUGAUGUUUGUGAUACUUGUCAUCUUGCUAAACAGAAAAAGCUUCCUUUUACUUUAAGCAAUUCCUGUUCUUCAAAAUCUUUUGAGUUGAUUUACAUUGAUAUUUGGGGUCCUUGUUCUGUUAUUUCUAUGCAAGGUUUCCGGUAUUUUUUAACUAUUGUGGAUGAUUUCUCUCGCUUUACGUGGACCAUUUUUUUACGCAAUAAAUCUGAAGUUCGUAAUCAUAUUGUCAGUUUUGUUGCUUAUAUUGAAAACCACUUUAAAACUACUAUUCAAACUAUUAGAACUGAUAAUGGUGCUGAAUUUGCUAUGAAAGAUUUUUUUUCUACUAAAGGUAUAAUUCACCAAACCACCUGUGUUGAAACCCCCUGAACAAAAUGACAUUGUUGAACGCAAGCAUCAACAUCUUUUAAAUGUGACUCGUGCAUUAGUUUUUCAAGCUCAUCUACCUCAUUUGUUUUGGAACUUUGUUGUGCAGCAUGCAACUUUCUUAAUUAUCUGUACUCCUACUCCCUUUUACAGAAUUUUUCCCCUUAUGAAAAACUAAAUGGUAAUCUUUGUGAUCUUUCAAAUUUACGUGUCUUUGGAUGUUUAUGCUACUCUAACACUCUCACUUCACAUAGAAAGAAAUUAGAUGCACGUUCUGUUCAUGGUGUUUUCCUUGGUUUCCAGCACCACACCAAAGGCUAUAUUUUUCUCAAUCUUAAAAAUCACAAAAUUGAGAUUUCAAGACAUGUUAUUUUUCAUGAAACUAAUUUUCCAUAUCAAUUGACUACUGAUGUUCAACAGAAUCCAAAUAAUCUGUCUUUACCUCUACCUCCCAAUUAUGAUUCAAAAUGUGAUCUCUCUUUUUCUACUACACCUUAUACUGUUGAAACUACUACCACCACAAAUGUUGAAAAUGUUGUUGAUACUCCCCCUCGGCGUUCAACAAGAUUAAGGAGACCUCCAGCUUAUUUAGAAGAUUUUCAAACUGAUUUGCCAGCUAUACACAAUGUAAGUUCUAACUAUCCUCUUCGAAAUUAUGUUUCAUACCAUGCUUUAUCACCUGGUUUUAAGCAUAUUAUUCUUUCUAUUUCAUCUCAUAUGGAGCCACGCAACUAUAAUGAAGCCUCUCAACAAACCUUCUAGCAGUUAGCAAUGCAUGCUGAAUUAGAUGAUCUUGACGUCAAUCAAACAUGGCAAAUUACUUCCCUUCCACCUGGUAAGAAGACUAUUGGUUGUAGAUGGAUUUAUAAAAUUAAAUAUAAAUCAGAUGGGACUGUAGACCGUUACAAGGCACGCUUGGUUGCCAAAGGUUACACCCAAUUGGAAGGUCUUGAUUUCUUGGAUACAUUUGCACCAGUUGCAAAAUUAACUACUCUUCGUCUCCUUCUUGCUCUUGCUGCUGCAUAUAACUGGUCUCUUACACAAUUGGAUGUUAAUAAUGCAUUCCUACAUGGAGACUUGCAUGAAGAGGUUUACAUGCAGCCUCCCCCUGGGCUUCUUCUUCCUAACAAUAGUGUUUGUAAACUUCAGCGGUCUCUUUAUGGCCUUAAGCAAGCUGGAAGACAAUGGUAUGAAAAGCUGUCAACUUUUUUAAUUUCACAAAACUACAUUUUAUCUUCAGCUGAUCAUUCUUUAUUUUUAAAACGUCAUGACACUAACAUUACUAUUAUUCUUGUUUAUGUGGAUGAUAUUGUGCUUAUUGGGAAUGAUCGUGCUGAGAUUCUUAACAUAACCAACAUGCUGGACCAGACCUUUAAGAUCAAGAAUUUGGGUGAUCUCACCUACUUUUUAGGCCUCGAGGUAGCCCGCAACAGUUCUGGAAGUCAUCUUGGUCAACGAAAAUACACUAUAGAUCUUCUUCAUGAAACGGGAAUGCAAGAUUGUGUACCUAUGCCUACACCUAUGACGCAUUCUUCCCGCCUCUCAUCAAUUGAAGGUAUUCCUCUCAAUGAAGACGAAACCUCAGCAUACUGCAGACUUAUUGGGCGCUUAAUCUACCUUACAAACACUAGACCUGACAUUGCCUUCAGUGUCAACAAUCUUAGCCAAUCUGUCUCUGCACCCACCAAGUUUCAUCAACAAGCUGCUUUCAGAAUAUUAAGGUAUCUCAAAAGCAACCCUAGUUUUGGUAUUUUUCUUUCUAAUAGUAGUCCUAUCCAUUUAAAAGCUUAUAGUGACUCAGAUUGGGCCACUUGUCCUGAUACUCGAAAAUCUAUAACUGGUUUUUUUGUUUUUUUGGGAGAGUCUCUAAUCUCCUGGAAAUCAAAGAAGCAACAAACAAUUUCUAAGAGCUCCUCUGAAGCAGAAUAUAGAGCCCUAGAAGCUACUACUUGUGAGCUUCAGUGGUUAACCUACAUGCUUCAAGACCUUGGUCUCACCUUCACUUCACCAGCCACCCUCUACUGCGAUAAUCAAUCAGCCAUUCAAAUCGCAUCCAACCAGGUUUUCCACGAGAGAACCAAACACAUAGAGAUCGAUUGUCAUAUUGUCAGAGAAAAACUUAAUACCGGUCUCCUCAAAUUGCUUCCUAUAUCUUGUGCCUUGCAAACUGCAGAUAUUCUUACUAAACCCCUGGCACCUGCUGUUUUCAAGAACCUUUAGUCCAAGCUGGGAAUGAAGGAUAUAUAUUCCCAGCUUGAGGGAGGGUGUUAGUGAUAUUAUUGGGCUUCUUCUUGGGCCCUAUUUUUUCUUUGUGUAACGCUUUUCUCUGGACCUUAUUCUGUUAGCCCAUGCCUCUUUUAUAUUACCUUUUAUUUGUACCUUUUACACACAGAAACAAUAAUAUACUAUAUCUGAUUCUUUUUCUUGCUCUCUCUCCCCGUAUUCUUCACAUUUUGCUUUACGCUUUUCUUUCUCACCACGGCACACUUUCAUUCUCUUGGUGCCGCUGAAUUCUUCUUCAUCACAUUUCAGAAAUUAUAAUCGUAUUAGUGGCAAAAAAUAUACAAAAACGUUUUGUUCACACCUUCUACACACAUUUGAUGCUAUCAACAUGACAAAAAAUAUGACGUGGCAAAAACAAUAAUGAUUUCAGAAGCACGUCUGAGACAGCUUCUCUGAACUCUAGUCCACCACCACCGAAGACUCCUCCGGUGACACUCCUCUCCAUAUCCUGGCUCCGUCACCUCCUCGACGAGUUCCUCUACUGCCAGACCGAGUUGAAAGUUGUUGUUCUCAUGGGUCGCGACCCCUCAGAUUGCCAAGCGAGAUCGUCAUUGUCGCACUCGAUGUGACGACGCACCGAGAACAACUCUGUCGCUAACAGCAAGGACUGCGUGCGAUCGUUGUCGUGGACGAUGGUGCGUAACUGGUCGGCGUCUCAACAGAUCCACACGACUCUCAGAACACUGCCAUUUGAUGAUUCGACUGCCAGAAAGCCCUUUGCCGUGGGGAUCGAAAGCAAAACUCUGAAUUUGGAUUUUAUAUUAUAUCGGUUAUUACACUUGUCGAUGAACACCAGAUGUAACAGAUUCUUAGAAAUUAAAAUUUAAGGUUAAUUAAAUAUCACAAAACUGAUUUAAUAAGAUAGCUUUUACAUUUUAAUUAUAUAAUAUACUUUAAUUAUAUCACUAGUUAAAAUGUGAUAUUUUCGAUAUAAAUCACAAUUUAUUGAAUUGUAAUAUUUAGAUUAUUAUACUUUAACGAUUCCUCCAUUUCUUUAACGUCUUCAGAGAAACUUAUAAAUAUAAUAAUUUUUCUUGAUGUUAAUAAAAAAUUAUAAGAUUUUCUAUUUUUGUCUUUCUUCAUUUCUAUAUUACAAUAAAUUUGUAAACUAAUUAAAUAUCUGAUGAAAAGUAAAGGUACAAUUAAUAAAAGAAUAGUUAAUGUUGACCGUGAUAAAGAAACAAAGAGAAUAUAUAUGAGUAGGUGUAAAACAUUUUCUCUAAAAGACCGAAGAAAUUAAUGUUUUUAUGCUUAUUUUUUGUAUUAUACGAUAAAAAAAUAAUCUAUGUCUUGUUAAAUUAAUUAAAUUACAUAAUUUUUACCAUGAAAAAUAAAUUUUUAAUUAAUGAAAAGUAAUUAAUGUUAUUUUCUAAUUGAUGAAAGAGCAAUUAAUGUGGCCCUCCCAAGGGAAUAUCUUACCUGGCAGAAUUUGUGAAACUCAAUGGCUUCAAAUAAUAGGAAGUGAAGAAAUAACCUUUUUCUACCUUAACUUCAAAGUUUUAUUCUUUUGGGUGCUAGCCUAUGCAAACAUGAUGUGACCUAUUUUCCAGCAAUAACUUCAACAAAUUUAGACAUACUAAUCCCAAAUGAUCAAAAUAUUUUUUAUAAUUUUCCAAAAUCUCUUUUCUGAAAUAUAUUUCUAAAUUUUAUUUUUUAGAUUUUUUUAGAAUAUAUAUUUUUAUUAUAAAUUGCUAUGAAGUUAUGGAGUGAACAAUUUACCAUGCAUCUGUCAAGGGAAAACCAGCAUUAAAUUUUUUGGGACCAAUUUGUCUAUUAAUUUUCAGAUUUUUCUUGGUAACCAAGGCCACCGUCCAUGCUAUAUCCACUUCAAUUAUACUGCUUCAGAAUUUCUUGGUUCAGAAAGGUCUACAACAUCAUUGCAUCAAUCAUCAUUAAUAACAUAGUCCUUCCACCUUAAAUACAAGUGCAAAAAUACAAUUAUCACAAUAAAUUAUUAAAUCGAUCGGUUAAAUAAAAAUUGAUGUAAAGAAAGCAUCACGUAGUAAUACUACAAUAAAUUAUUAAAUCGAUCGGUUAAAUAAAAAUUGAUAUAAAGAAAGCAUCAGGUAGUAAUACUUUUGUAAUUUCUGUUGUAGAUAUUAUAUCGGUUGUGAUGUAAUAGGUUCAAAAUUACAUCCUUACACAUUAAACAGAUAUUUUUUUUCAAUUUCUACCAUAGAUAUUAUAUCAUUUGUACUUACAACCGAUGUAAUAAGCACAUAUAACAUCGGUUGCAUGAGAAAAUCGGAAUCGAUGUUAUAUGUGUUGUUUUAAAAUUUUAGGUUUUGUGUUUUAACGUUCACUUUUCUCUUGCGCGCUUGUUUGCGUUCUCUUCUUCCUCAUUGCGCCGCAUACUCACGAUUCUUUAUAUUUUCAUUUUUGAUUUGGUUCUUUGGAUCUUCGGUGACGUUGGCCGAGUAGUGGGUGGUGCAAGACAUUAACCGCUUCUUCUGCUUUGUUGUGUCGUGUACAAUUUACAAUUGUAGCACUUUUCAUUUUCAUUUUUGGGGUUGGGUUCUUUGGAACACUGGUGACGUUGAUCGUGGUGGGCAGUCCCAGAGUUUUGUUGUUGUUGGUUGGGGUUUGGUUUUCUUCUUCUAGUGUUCUCUCUCACCAUGCCACGUUGUAUUUUUUUCAUUUGUUGGGUUUGGUUUUUUAGACUGAAGGGGAGCUUGAAUUUUUUGUUUUGUCGUUGCUGAUUACUCUUUCCAUUGCCUCAUUUUUUAGGCAAUGGAGGUGUACGCAUCCAUGUGCUCAUCCAGAUCGAUCGUGUCAUCAUAACGAUCCCUAUUGAAGUCUUUCCACUUAUCUGGUAGUGGAACCCCGAUUAUGGAAUCGGUAAAAGGGUGUUGACGGACCGAGUCCAGGGUACCGGUCGUGAAAUCGACUUAUUCGGAUAGGACUCGUCGUCGACCUCUUGGGUGUGACUUUUAUCCUUCGACUCCUCUACAGUCUUGGGGUCGGUGGGGGUGGUGAAGGACCUUCCGACAAGAUUGGUCAGUCCAAUAGACGGUCCCCCCUCAACGAACUUCAUUUUCAUCUCUUCGUUCUCCUUUCGGAGAGCCAGGAUUUCCUCCUCAUUCUUCCGAGUGAUCUCUUCAUUCCUUCUCUUCAUUUCAACCAUCUCUCUCUGUAGAGACAUGAACAAUGUCAUCUGCUCAGCUUCGGACAUUCUUUUACUAGCCAUGCUUCGGGUUGAUACCAUCUACUUUUCUCUUUACGUUAUUUCUCUCGGUCUCACGAUGGACGUCAAUUGUUUUCGAAUGGGGUUGGGGCUGAGAACGAUUCAAGCUGCUCUUCUAUCUACUCGAUCAGUCGGUCAAGUCUUUCCUCCUUCCUCUCAAAGCGAUCUUCUCACUCUCCUCUUUUAGCUCUACCUCUCGGUCUCCACAAGUCCAAACUCGGAUAGUACCUGCAAAAGGUACUUCGACGCUCAAGUUAGAAUUGAGUAUUCAACACUCGGUAUUCUGAGCACAGUAUAUGAUAGACCUGAUUCUUGCACUACAAGAAAAUCAUGAAAUAGAAACCAAUUUUUAGAGACCAAAAUAAUUAGUUACAAUAUGAACUAAAAUAGAGACCAUUUUAGAAACUAACAAAAAAAUUGGUUUCUAAAUUAGUUUCUAUUAUUUUCUAUUAUUGUUAAAUAGUUUCUAAAUUGGUAUCUAAUUAGCAACUAAGGUUUUAGAUACCAAUUAUUUAGUUUCUAAAUUUAGUCUCUAAAACCUUGGUUGCUAAUUAGAUACCAAUUUAGAAACUAUUUAACAAUAAUAGAAAAUAAUAGAAAAUAAUAGAAACUAAUUUAGAAACCAAAUUUCUUUUUAGUUUCUAAAAUGGUCUCUAAUUUAGUUACUAUUGCAACUAAUUAUUUUGGUCUCUAAAAAUUGGUUUCUAUUUCAUGAUUUUCUUGUAGUGUUGGAUUUUGUCUCUAUUUAUAUGGUUAUUAUGGGCCUUUUCUCACUGAGCCAUAUUAUAAAGUUGAGUCAUAUUUAGAAAUACAUUAUCUAGUGUUUAAUUGUUGAUUAGCCUUAUUAAUCAUGCUUAAGCGUGAUGGUUUUUGUGAUUUCGAUCGACUUGGAGAGACAUGAUGUACCCAUCAACAGAUAAAAUACAAUUAAAUUAUUGAGUGAUGAAUAUAUUUGUUUAUGAUAUGAGGGUCACGAUGAUACUCGACUCAACCACAAUACCUAUUAGAAGGAUAGGAUAUAUAGGCCAAUUUGAUUAAAUGAGUACAUGUAGAAGAAUGUUUUUCUUUUGUCUUUUGUGGGGAUUGGAUUUUUUUUUUUAGGAUUUUAUGUUAUGUCUUUUUAGUUCUAGUACCACAAAUGACUUUUCAAAGGAUAUUAUAUAUCACCCUAGACUAGGAGAGAGGAGAGAGGGCGUAUGUUAUUGGUUCUGUUACUGUCAUAUCUUUCCCAGCUCUAUCUUUCCUAGUUUUCUUUACGUUCUUACUCAUCCUGCUCCAUGACUGUAUCACUCGAGGACUACAACCUUAUUAAGGUGAAGGAUAGGGUGAGGGGAAUUGCUUUGAAACCGUUAGAUUGCUUCCAUUUUAAAUCAAUGGUGGAUAAAUUUCAGUUCUUUAUAUAUUUUUAUUUCCUUUUUCUUCUUCUUCUCCCAUGGGCAAGUUUGAAAGAAAUAUCUGACACAAGAAGGCAUAGUCAUUGUCUCUUAUUCAUAUUCAGUCUCUGGACAAGAUUCUCUCUUACACUUGAUUCAAGCUACGGACUUAAUAACCUUAUCAGCUUCAAAAGCCUCCACGAACCCUAAAUUGAAGCCUUCAUGCUCAGUGAGACUCAACCGUUUUCCCUCCUCACCGUUGUGUGCAUUAAACCUCCCAAUAUCCAGACAAGUUGGUGUCCCAGUGAUGCAGAACACAAGCUUGUACGAAAACUGAUAAUAUUUCUGAAUAUGAAAUUUGCCAGCAUAAGUUUGUUGCCCGGGAUGGCCUUCGGCACCACCAACUCCCACACAUGCCUUCUGGAUUGCUUCGUCCAGAAACACCAACCACUUUGAGGAUUCUGAACACUCUGGCUUCUCCACGAACUCGAUUUCCAGUUCGGUACCUACACUCAUGUUUCCAAAAAUUUAAAUCAGUAACCUAUGCAACACACUCACACUUAAACACGUGUAAUCUUAAAUUGAUAAGGUGUUGAUGAGUACCAGUGAAGAUGAUUCCAGAGCUGUCUCCAGGUAUGGUGAAUUUCACAGGAAUGCCGCGGAAGUUUGCAAAGGGAUCUUGCAAGACAGUUAGAGCGCAUUGUGAGUUCCCAGUUUGGCCAAGUUUCAAUCCACCACCACCAGGGCCACGCAUUGUUGGUAUGAUGUAGUAUGUGAGACCUGGGCUAAUGGGUUUCCCAUUUAUGUCCAGAACUUGCUCACCAUCUGCGAAAGCCGAGGGAAGGUUGGUGAGGAAAGCAAGGAGAGGGAGGAGGAAGGAGAGGGCAAGAACUGCGGUGGCUUUCAUGGUUGAUUUAGUGGAUGAUGGUGCUGUUGCAGAUGUUCUGCUUCC
rnacentral:lncRNA from 1 species